ACGAGCGUGCACCUUAUGGGGAGGCAAGCUCCAGGAGCACCGGGACACGGAGAAAACAGGCAAGAAAGCGAAACGCGGGGCAGAAGGCUGGGAGGGGUGCGUGCCCCGGAAACGCUCCCCACGCGCCGUCUGUGCAACACCGCGCGGAAGGGCGGGCCGGGGGAUGCUCGGGGGAUGCAGGAGGUGCGGCCACCUGCGCCCCGGACUAAAGGAAACCCUGGAGAAGACAACCAGCCGCGGUCACGGCGACCGUAAGCGAAGACGCUGCAGCCCGUGGACAGCGCCCCGGGACGCCGGGGGCUCGGGGCGGCGGGUGCCGGGUUCGCGCGGGGGCGGCGGCGGCUUGAGGGCGGGGGCGGCCGGGCGCGGGGUCAGGGCGGCACCUCCCGGCCGGCCCGGCCCAGCCCCGCCCGACUGACCUGUGACGCUGGCCCGGGUGACGCGCUGCACCACGGCCUUCAUGGCGACGGCUGGGGCGAGCGGGGCGGCGCCGCGCGGCUUCCGGCCUCGGGACUCCGCGGGCGGCGCGGCGGGCGGCGCCCUCUGCCGGGGACACCAGGAAGCGCGCCCCGGCCGCUCCGGACCCGCGGGUCGAGCGGCCCGCCCACGUCGGCCGAGCUCAAAGCAGAGCACGGGCUCCAGGCACCCAGGCCUCAGCAGUUGCAGCACAUGGGCUCAGCAGUUGUGCCUGGAGGACUCCAGAGCACAGGCUCAGCAGUGGUGGCGCGUGGGCCGAGCUGCUCCGCACCAUGUGGGAUCCUCCCGGACCAGCGAUCGAACCCACGUCCCCUGCAUUGGCAGGCGGACUCCCAAGCACUGCACCACCAGAGCCAGGGAAGUGCCUACCCCCACGUUCUUUUUCCUUUGUUUUCCUGCCUCUGUAGCUCUUCAGAAACCAGAUAUAAGAGGAUCUGCUGCCUAAAAUAGCGAUUUAAUUGUUUAAGUGUUCAUUUGACCUAGCCAUAUCCUGGCAGUGCGCAGAUACAGGAUUCUGUGAUUGUAAUUCCUUCUCUAAUACUGAUAUCUGGCCCCUCUCACAGGUUUGUUAGAAGAUUUGAAUAAUAAACACUGUGUAAAAGUGUUAGAAAGCUGCAAAGAACUGUACAAGUGUUACCCUAACAAACUAUUAUCACUGGUAAAAACAAGCCCCUCUCAAGUGUGUAUUCUUACAGCCUAACAGUGCUGGUGGGUGUAGAGGGAUGGGAUUCAGGAUGUUCCCAAACCAACUCGGAUCCACUCUACCCUGCUUUUCCUCCGGCACCUCAGAAGUGGCAGUUGGUUUGUGGCCUUUUUGUAACUGAUGGUUCAUAAUUGCCCCUGUGACUGGGCAUGGGUGCAGUUUUGUGCAGUCCUGUAUAGAUUCUUUGUAUCUCUUGCUGGAGGAGAUGUUUGUCCAGGUGCAAGCACGCAGGUAGAGGGUCCCAGGUCCCAGGUCCUAGCCUUUCUCAACCCAACCCUUCUCUCCUGAAACAGGUCAUAAGCCCUCAUGUGAGAGGUGCCCUAUCUGUACAAGGAGAAAAGGAACAGCCUUAUCUCCAAAGACAAAAACACACCAAGAAGAAUCUGAAUCAUCAAGCCUUGCUAAGUCUACUCUGCCUACCACACAUUCCUUAGUCUAUCAUGUUCCUCCAUGACUGUUCAUGCUUCAUCAAACCUAACAACAAAAAUUACACAGGUUAAAAAAAAUGACACAGACCCAGCCAGGGACCCCAAUAGAGUGAGGAAAACUUUUUCCUCUCCUACAAGAGAAAACUUCAAGUGGAGAACAAGGAACAGCCAUUUGGCCAGAAAUGACUAUACUGCUGUGCUUGAGUGUUAAAUACUGCACACUAAAUUGCCAAAGAUAGCAUCACCAGUAAUGAGACAAACAGCAUGUACUUCUGAUAUUGCACUGAGAAAGACACUAUGUCACUAUUGUGGUAUUUCUGCCAAAAAUGUAUAAUCUGAAUCCAAUCAUGAAGAAACAUCAGACAAACCUAAAUUAAGGAACACUCUACAAAAUAACUAGAAGGAUCCUUCAAAAAUGUCAAGGAAAAGACAGUCUGGAGAGGCUCAAGAGGGAGGGGAUUUAUAUGUGUAUAAAUACAGCUGAUUCACUUUGUUGUACAGCAGAAACUGGCACAACAGUGUAAAGCAAUUAUACUCCAAUAAAGAGCUGAAAAAAAAAAAAAGUCUGAAGA